GAUGAACGCUGGCGGCGUGCCUAAUACAUGCAAGUCGAGCGAACGGACGAGAAGCUUGCUUCUCUGAUGUUAGCGGCGGACGGGUGAGUAACACGUGGAUAACCUACCUAUAAGACUGGGAUAACUUCGGGAAACCGGAGCUAAUACCGGAUAAUAUUUUGAACCGCAUGGUUCAAAAGUGAAAGACGGUCUUGCUGCCACUUAUAGAUGGAUCCGCGCUGCAUUAGCUAGUUGGUAAGGUAACGGCUUACCAAGGCAACGAUGCAUAGCCGACCUGAGAGGGUGAUCGGCCACACUGGAACUGAGACACGGUCCAGACUCCUACGGGAGGCAGCAGUAGGGAAUCUUCCGCAAUGGGCGAAAGCCUGACGGAGCAACGCCGCGUGAGUGAUGAAGGUCUUCGGAUCGUAAAACUCUGUUAUUAGGGAAGAACAUAUGUGUAAGUAACUGUGCACAUCUUGACGGUACCUAAUCAGAAAGCCACGGCUAACUACGUGCCAGCAGCCGCGGUAAUACGUAGGUGGCAAGCGUUAUCCGGAAAUAUUGGGCGUAAAGCGCGCGUAGGCGGUUUUUUAAGUCUGAUGUGAAAGCCCACGGCUCAACCGUGGAGGGUCAUUGGAAACUGGAAAACUUGAGUGCAGAAGAGGAAAGUGGAAUUCCAUGUGUAGCGGUGAAAUGCGCAGAGAUAUGGAGGAACACCAGUGGCGAAGGCGACUUUCUGGUCUGUAACUGACGCUGAUGUGCGAAAGCGUGGGGAUCAAACAGGAUUAGAUACCCUGGUAGUCCACGCCGUAAACGAUGAGUGCUAAGUGUUAGGGGGUUUCCGCCCCUUAGUGCUGCAGCUAACGCAUUAAGCACUCCGCCUGGGGAGUACGACCGCAAGGUUGAAACUCAAAGGAAUUGACGGGGACCCGCACAAGCGGUGGAGCAUGUGGUUUAAUUCGAAGCAACGCGAAGAACCUUACCAAAUCUUGACAUCCUUUGACAACUCUAGAGAUAGAGCUUUCCCCUUCGGGGGACAAAGUGACAGGUGGUGCAUGGUUGUCGUCAGCUCGUGUCGUGAGAUGUUGGGUUAAGUCCCGCAACGAGCGCAACCCUUAAGCUUAGUUGCCAUCAUUAAGUUGGGCACUCUAAGUUGACUGCCGGUGACAAACCGGAGGAAGGUGGGGAUGACGUCAAAUCAUCAUGCCCCUUAUGAUUUGGGCUACACACGUGCUACAAUGGACAAUACAAAGGGCAGCGAAACCGUGAGGUCAAGCAAAUCCCAUAAAGUUGUUCUCAGUUCGGAUUGUAGUCUGCAACUCGACUACAUGAAGCUGGAAUCGCUAGUAAUCGUAGAUCAGCAUGCUACGGUGAAUACGUUCCCGGGUCU
rnacentral:rRNA from 1 species